rnacentral:rRNA from 1 species
GACGAACGCUGGCGGCGUGCUUAACACAUGCAAGUCGAACGGUGAAGCGCCUUCCUUUUUGGUGGGUGUGGAUGAGUGGCGAACGGGUGAGUAACACGUGAGUAACCUGCCCCCUUCUUCUGGAUAACCGCAUGAAAGUGUGGCUAAUACGGGAUAUUCUGGGUCUGUCGCAUGAUGGUUUUGGGAAGGUUAUUGUUUGGGUGGGGAUUGGGCUCGGGGCCUAUCAGCUUGUUGGUGGGGUGAUGGCCUACCAAGGCGGUGACGGGUAGCCGGCCUGAGAGGGUGGACGGUCACACUGGGACUGAGACACGGCCCAGACUCCUACGGGAGGCAGCAGUGGGGAAUAUUGCACAAUGGGCGCAAGCCUGAUGCAGCGACGCCGCGUGAGGGAUGGAGGCCUUCGGGUUGUGAACCUCUUUCGCCAGUGAAGCAGGCCUGCCUCGUUUGUGGGUGGGUUGACGGUAGCUGGAUAAGAAGCGCCGGCUAACUACGUG